GCCUGGGUGGCUCAGUCGUUUGAACGUCUGACUUUGGCUCAGGUCAUGAUCUCACGGUUCGUGGGUUCGAGCCCCGCCUCGGGCU
rfam:Felis catus breed Abyssinian Contig136609.1, whole genome shotgun sequence. [26-MAY-2016]